rnacentral:tRNA from 1 species
GGGAUUGUGGCUCAGAGGUAGAGCACUCGCCUGCCAUGCGUGAGGCACUGGGUUCAAUCCCCAGCACCA